rnacentral:rRNA from 1 species
UACGUAGGUCGCAAGCGUUGUCCGGAUUUACUGGGCGUAAAGAGCGCGCAGGCGGCUGGCCAAGUCCGAUGUGAAAUCUCCCGGCUUAACCGGGAAACUGCAUCGGAAACUGGUCGGCUUGAAGGUGGGAGAGGGUAGCGGAAUUCCCGGUGUAGUGGUGAAAUGCGUAGAUAUCGGGAGGAACACUAGUGGCGAAGGCGGCUACCUGGCCCAUUCUUGACGCUGAGGCGCGAAAGCUAGGGGAGCGAACGGG